GCUCAGCUUAGUUGGUUAGAGCACUUGUUUAGUAAGCGGGAGGUCUUGAAUUCCACUCUCAACUAGAGCA